rnacentral:lncRNA from 10 species
GAAAAGCGAGGGAGACACUGACAGUGAGAUUGAAUGGCACUGCCACCACCAGAGGAAUAACUGGAAAAGGAAGCAGGAGGGCACUUGGGUACAAGGGAAAUGAUAAGAAAAGUAUAAAGCCACAGGAGCAGAAUGUUACCUCCUUUCUGUCCUCCUCUUUGUUCUUAUGGCCCAGUUGUCUUCCUCUUGACCCCGUCUUUGCACCAUGAAUAAUGGGUAUGGUUGUCCCUGGAGUCUGGGAUAACUAGGACAAUGCCAGGCAUGUAGGUUCCAGCCAUAUAGACCAUUGAAUCUGAUGAAAGAUAUACCCCUACUGAAAUGCACUGAAUAUUUUUGAACACCUACCAUUUCUAAGAGGAUAUGAUUUGAAAGCCAGUAUAGGAAGAUUUGAUGCAAAUCUGAUUGUUGCAUGGGGCCUUGGAGAAUAUCCUGGAAAAGCAUAUACCUUUGAUCCUGGGUUAUGAUUUCAAUUAGAUUUUUCCUACUAUGUCAAAUGGUGAU